GCGCAUAACCUAAAAAAAAACUUAAACACACAAAAACAAAAUCAAAUCCAAAACACACAAAUAAUAAAAAAAAUUAAAAUAAAAUAAAAUAAGAUAAAUAAAAUAAAAUAAAGUAAAAUCCAAUCAAAUCAAAUCAAAUCAAGUAAAAUAAAAUAAAAUAAAUAAAAUAAAAUAAAAUAAAAUAAAAUAAAAUGAAAUGAGAUCAAUUCAAAUAAAAUAAAAAAAAAUAGAAUCAAAUAAAAUAAAAGGCAAAAAAAUCUAAUAAAACAAAAGAUAAAAAAUUCAGAAACUGGGUUCAAGAUAUUUUUUUUUGUUGAAUUUUUUUAAGAACUAAAUAUACACAGGAACCUAUUGCAGUGUCCUAAGCAUAGGAACUUUAAUCUCCAAUUUCUUGAAGAUUUCCAUGAAACACUCAAAUAUUUUUUCCUUUUUCUUCUUAUGAUCCUUUUUUGGGUGAGGAAGGGGUUUUUCAUAUGAUUCUUUCUUUUUGCUUUCAUCCUUCCCCUCUCUCUUUUUCUCCUUAGGACACUCCUUAGGGCACCAAGGACUUUUCUCAAUUUUUUUCUCUUCUCUCUCAACCCCUUCUUUUUCUUCCUCUACAUCAUUCUCUUUGUCACUCAAAAAUUGUUUAUCUUCUCCUCUAUUUCUAUCUCUUCUUCUUCUUGCUCCUCAUCUCUCAAACUCUCUUCUUCUUUUCUUUCUAUUUUUCUCUCAUUCUCUCUCUUUUCUUCUUGUUCUAUUUCCUCAUCUGGAGCUUUUUCAUCUUCAAUGACAACAUCUUUGCAUUCCUUACCAGGAUUUGCUCUCUCGUUGUUUGUGAUCUCAUACAGCAUCUGACUUAGGCCCCUGCAAUGAUGAUAUGCGGGGGUCUAGCACAGUGAUACAUCAAGGUCCCAUUACGAGAAGCAUGAUCAGAAAACUACACAAUGUCCCAGAAGAAUCUUCAAAAGGUCAACUACUGUCCAUUUUUGAGUGGAAGAUCAAAGCUGAAUAGGCAUGAGGGCAAAAGUGGCAAAACGUUGCUGAAAACGUUGCUGCUUGCUGAUUCCAGAAUCCAUUCACGCUAGCCAUGCUGCAUCCACGUGUCCUCAUCUGCAUCAAAUUGUUUUCAUCUUCACCGUCCAAGAACUUGUAGAAAUCUGUAUAAAUUCUACUUGUAUUUGCAGUUGGG
rnacentral:lncRNA from 1 species